rnacentral:rRNA from 1 species
UACGGAGGAUGCAAGCGUUAUCCGGAAUGAUUGGGCGUAAAGCGUCCGCAGGUGGCGAUGUAAGUCUGCUGUUAAAGAGUCUAGCUCAACUAGAUAAGAGCAGUGGAAACUACAUAGCUAGAGUACGUUCGGGGCAGAGGGAAUUCCUGGUGUAGCGGUGAAAUGCGUAGAGAUCGGAAGAACAUCGGUGGCGAAGGCGCUCUGCUGGACCAUAACUGACACUCAGGGACGAAAGCUAGGGGAGCGAAUGGG